GUGGGGAAUAUUGGACAAUGGGCGAAAGCCUGAUCCAGCCAUGCCGCGUGUGUGAAGAAGGUCUUCGGAUUGUAAAGCACUUUAAGUUGGGAGGAAGGGCAGUAAGUUAAUACCUUGCUGUUUUGACGUUACCGACAGAAUAAGCACCGGCUAACUUCGUGCCAGCAGCCGCGGUAAUACGAAGGGUGCAAGCGUUAAUCGGAAUUACUGGGCGUAAAGCGCGCGUAGGUGGUUUUGUAAGUUGGAGGUGAAAUCCCCGGGCUCAACCUGGGAACGGCCUCCAAAACUGCAUGACUAGAGUACGGUAGAGGGUAGUGGAAUUUCCUGUGUAGCGGUGAAAUGCGUAGAUAUAGGAAGGAACACCAGUGGCGAAGGCGACUACCUGGACUGAUACUGACACUGAGGUGCGAAAGCGUGGGGAGCAAACAGGAUUAGAAACCCUGGUAGUCC
rnacentral:rRNA from 1 species